rnacentral:lncRNA from 1 species
CCUGCCCCCCCGCCCCCGAAUGUUAGCCUUGGCUGUCAAGUUCAAGGUUGGAAGAGCUGAAACCAGGGGGAAUGGUCCCGGGUGGAGUGAGGUCAAGGGGAGACAGCAGGAUCGGGAGCAUGAAGGAUGAGCCUCAUGGCUCUGCAGAAAAAGACCUUGUCCAAAUGCAGGUAGCUGGGGCUGGGACCCAAAGACAGCAGGCAGAGGGGGCAGCAAAUGAAGUGUGCUGGCGGCAGUGUAUUCCUGGGGCGUCUGAGCAGACGUCAGUGCACACACAGGACACUGGUACCCAGGAGUGGGCACAUUUCGUUAGAUGUCUCAGAGAGGGUCUUAAGGAAGCCACACUGGCCCCUUUUUGUCCCCUUGCACACAGCGUAGAAGGGAAGGAUAAGAAUUGAUACGGGAAUAAACAGAGCAUGCGUACAGGGACUCAAUGGAGACCAGAGGAGGCUGUCAGCUGCCUGGGCUUGCUCAGUCUUCCUCACUGCCCUAGUGAGGCAGGCGUCUGGGUGCUCUUGGGUAGGGUGGGCCUCCCCUUUCCUGAUGCAGGCACUCCUCAGCCCAUUUUACUUAUGUCCUGCCCUUCCUCUUCCCCACCCAGUUGACCCAUUUGAAGUCUCCUUCAGCCACUGAAGGUGGUCAUGGUACUGGGGACUUGGGAGAGUGAGACCCUGUGGAGGGAGAGGAGAGGAGAGUGUCUGGGUGGGGGUUGGGGAUAGGGGUGAACGGUGCUGGAAGCCCAGCUAAAUUUCUGUCUUGUUUGGGUUUUUUUUUUUUGUUUUGUUUUGUUUAAUGUAUAUUUUUAUUAUAAUUAUUAUAUAUGAAUGCCAUUCAAAUCGUUCCUUUUUGUUAACAAGGGGCAUGGGGAGGGGUGGGGGGUGGAGGGGGGAAGAGGUGGCUGACCCCAGAAACCUGCAGGGCGGGGCUGGGUCAGUGCUCUCGAAGGACAUUUUUUGACCUUGUUCAACCUUUCCACGAAGAAUAAACUGUGUUUCAC